rnacentral:rRNA from 1 species
CAGCCGCCGCGGUAAUACGAAGGGUGCAAGCGUUACUCGGAAUUACUGGGCGUAAAGCGUGCGUAGGUGGUGGUUUAAGUCCGUUGUGAAAGCCCUGGGCUCAACCUGUGAAUUGCAGUGGAUACUGGGUCACUAGAGUGUGGUAGAGGAUAGUGGAAUUUCCGGUGUAGCAGUGAAAUGCGUAGAGAUCGGAAGGAACAUCUGUGGCGAAGGCGACUAUCUGGGCCAACACUGACACUGAGGCACGAAAGCGUGGGGAGCAAACAGGAUUAGAUACCCCUGUAGUCCCUGUCUCUUAUAC